GUGCAGCAGUCGAGAAUCUUCGGCAAUGGGGGAAACCCUGACCGAGCGACGCCGCGUGUGGGAUGAAGGCCCUUGGGUUGUAAACCACUGUCAGAGGGGAUGAAAUGCCGGAAAGUUAUCUCUCCGGUUUGACAUAGCCUCAGAGGAAGCACGGGCUAAGUUCGUGCCAGCAGCCGCGGUAAGACGAACUGUGCAAACGUUAUUCGGAAUCACUGGGCUUGAAGAGUGCGUAGGCGGUUUCGUAAGUAGGGUGUGAAAGCCCCCGGCUCAACCGGGGAAUUGCGUCCUAAACUGCGAGGCUGGAGUGAGGUAGGGGUGUGUGGAACUUCCAGUGGAGCGGUGAAAUGUGUUGAUAUUGGAAGGAACGCCGGUGGCGAAAGCGACACACUGGACCUUGUCUGACGCUGAGGCACGAAAGCCAGGGGAGCAAACGGGAUUAGAUACCCCUGUAGU
rnacentral:rRNA from 1 species